CAGCAGCCACGGGAAUACAGAGGGUGCAAGCGUUAAUCGGAAUUACUGGGCGUAAAGCGCGCGUAGGUGGUUCGCCAAGUUGGAUGUGAAAUCCCCGGGCUCAACCUGGGAACUGCAUCCAAAACUGGCGAGCUAGAGUAUGGUAGAGGGUGGUGGAAUUUCCUGUGUAGCGGUGAAAUGCGUAGAUAUAGGAAGGAACAUCAGUGGCGAAGGCGACCACCUGGACUGAUACUGACACUGAGGUGCGAAAGCGUGGGGAGCAAACAGGAUUAGAUACCCCCGUAGUCCCUGUCUCUUAUAU
rnacentral:rRNA from 1 species